rnacentral:rRNA from 1 species
GAUGAACGCUGGCGGCGUGCCUAAUACAUGCAAGUCGAGCGAACGGACGAGAAGCUUGCUUCUCUGAUGUUAGCGGCGGACGGGUGAGUAACACGUGGAUAACCUACCUAUAAGACUGGGAUAACUUCGGGAAACCGGAGCUAAUACCGUAUAAUCUUUUGAACCGCAUGGUUCAAAAGUGAAAGACGGUCUUGCUGUCACUUAUAGAUGGAUCCGCGCUGCAUUAGCUAGUUGGUAAGGUAACGGCUUACCAAGGCAACGAUGCAUAGCCGACCUGAGAGGGUGAUCGGCCACACUGGAACUGAGACACGGUCCAGACUCCUACGGGAGGCAGCAGUAGGGAAUCUUCCGCAAUGGGCGAAAGCCUGACGGAGCAACGCCGCGUGAGUGAUGAAGGUCUUCGGAUCGUAAAACUCUGUUAUUAGGGAAGAACAUAUGUGUAAGUAACUGUGCACAUCUUGACGGUACCUAAUCAGAAAGCCACGGCUAACUACGUG